rnacentral:lncRNA from 1 species
AGAAGCUUUCGCCUCCGCCUUCAGACUGGCCCUCAGGCUUCCCUGCUCAGAGGCAGGGAAUUGUGCAGCUGGAGUUUCAUUUUCCAAGGGAGAUGUGGACACACGUAGACAUGUAUGGAGGGAGGAUGUUGUGGACACCCAGGGAGAAGGUGGCACCAACAAGCCAGGUACGCCAAAAGCUGGGAGAGCCUGGAACAGAUCCUUCCCUUGUGGAAGGAGCCAACUCAGCCAAGACCUUGAUAUCGGUUUUGUUUUGUUUUGUUUCUCAAGACGGAGUCUGGCUCUGUUGCCCAUGCUGGAGUGCAAUGGUGUGAUCUCAUCUCACUGCAACCUCCACCCUCCAGGUUCAAGCAAUUCUCCUGCCUCAGCCUUCUGAGUAGCUGGGAUUACAGGCACCUGCCACCACACCUGGGUAGUUUUUUGUAUUUUUAGUAGAGACAGGGUUUCACCAUGUUGGCCAGGCUGGUCUCCAACUCCUGACCUCAAGUGAUCUGCCUGCCUUGGCCUCCCAAAGUGGUGGGAUUACAGGCAUGAUCCAUUGUGCCUGCCAAGACCUUGAUUUUGGACUUCCCACCUGCAGAACUGGGAGACAGCAUGUUUCUUUGUCUAAGCCACUAAGUUUGUGGUGCUUUGUUACGGCAGUCCUAAGAAACCAAUUCUGUUUAGGAUUUUGAGGAACUGCCAAAUCACUUCCCUCCACAGCUGCACCACUUUCAUUCCCACCAACAAUGUAAGAGGCCACCAAUUUCUCCACAUCCCCGUCAAAACCUGCUAUUUUCCAUUUAUUUAUUUAUUUAUAUUUUGAGUCGGCAUCUUGCUCUGUCGCCCAGGCUGGAGUGCAGUGGUGCGAUCUUGGCUCACUGCAUCCUCUGCCUCCCAGGUUCAAGUGAUUCUCCUGCCUCACCCUCCCAAGUAGCUGGGAUUACAGGCGCCUGCCACCACGCCCGGCUGAUUUUUGUCUAUUUAGUAGAAUUGGGGUUUUGCCAUGUUGGCCCGGCUGAUGUUGAACUCUUGACCUCAAGUGAUCCACUCGCGUCAGCCUCCCAAAGUGCUGGGAUUACAGACGUAAGCUACCAUGCCCAGCCUUCCUUAAAAAAAAUUUUAAAAAUCGCUGUCCUAGUAAGCAUGGGGUGGGAUCUCACUGUGUCUUGACUUGCAUUUCCCUAGUGAGUGCAGUGCUGAGCAUCUUCACUGGCCAUCUGUACGUCUUCUCUUAUUUCUUAUUUUUUUUUUAUUUUUUUGUGAUAGUCUCGCUCAGUCGCCCAGGCUGGAGUGCAGUGGUGUGAUCUCGGCUCGAUGCAACCUCCACCUCCCAGGUUCAAGUGACUCUCCUGCCCCAGCCUCCUGAAUAGCUGGGACUACAGGCACCCGCCACCACGCCCAGCUAAUUUUUUGUAUUUUUAGUAGAGACGGGGGUUCACUGUGUUAGCCAGGAUGGUCUCGAUCUCCUGACCUCAUGAUCCGCCUGCCUCAGCCUCCCAAAGUGCUGGGACUACAGGUGUGAGCCACCACACCUGGCCCCUCUUCCUCUUAUUUGUAUUUAAGUCCCCAGUGCACAGCGCCCUGUCUGGUUUGCUCAGUCACUCUGUUUGGAUGUGUGAGUGGAUGGAAAGCCCUGGCCUUGGGCUUCCCCACCGCUUUCAUUCAGUGUAGCCGGUUCAUUAGGAACGUUACAGCAGCCCCAUCCCAUUGCUUCUCAGUGGGCUUAGAAUAAACCUGAAUUCCUGACACAGUCGUCAUGGUGGCUCCCCCGCUCCCCACCCACUUCACUUCUUACUAUUCCCCUCUCAUGAUCAAGGGAGACCAUGAAAUAUAGUGUGCACAUGGGGAUAUUUUUGAAAGAUACACGAGGACAACAGACAUCCACUGGGACUGUCUUAAGUACACCAGGAGGGGAGGUCAGCCUGGCCAUUGCUCUCAGCCACACUGGCCCUAGUCUGUCCUUGAGCGUAUCAGCUCUUGCCCGUGUGGGGCUUUGCACAGGCUGCCCUGGAGCCUGGAUGGCUGUUCUCUUGCUUUUCUCCCUUCUGGCUCUUUCCUGGCCUGCGGGUUUCACCUCCAGCGUCUCCUUCUCAGGAUGCCUCUGCCAACAUGCCUGUCUAGGGGAGUCCUACUCUGUCACCCUCUCACUACUCCUUGCCUAUUUUUUUUCAUAGCAUGGAUCACAGUUUAGGAUGAUCAGUUCAUUGCUUACCUGCUUUUUGUCUGCUUACUCUAGACUAUUUAUUUUUUAUUUGAAACGGAAUGGAACCAGCAUGUUGCCCAGUGCCUGACAAAGUUAGAUGACAAAUCAAUAGCUGUUGAAGGGAUGAGUUACUCAUAAUGGUAAGAAAGGCACUGUCGUGUGGCUGUACAGAUGACAGCUGGGAACUGAUCAAACUUGUCUGAAGAUCCACAUUCUGUGAAGAGCAAACUCGCAAGCUGGAAAAUAUUAAACCAAUGAGCAACGUUUGGCUCUCAAAUUGUACUUUAACCAGGGCAUGGGUUGGAAUCAUUGUCAAUGGUGGUCAUUUCUCCCUUAAGCUGUUGUGAAAAUGGGUUUUUACAGCUCCUGGCUUCUUUCUUGUAGUUACUCAUCCCCCCCCACUGCCAUUCACUACCACCCCCACAAUCCACCUGACACCUACCCAUCCACCCACCCACCCACCAUUCCAACCAAUGUCCACACACUGUGCACCGUCUGCCUACCAUCUAACCUCCCACCCCCUCCCACACCCAUGAAGCCAGCACACACCCACCCAUCCGUGGCACUUGGGCGUGGUUGUGUGGCCCCACAGGAGGCUGAGUAUUGCCAGUGGGGGGAGUGGUUGGCUUAGGGGAGCUCCCCUUCAAAGUGUCCAAAGAUGAAGGUUAUAUGUGAAUAAAACAAUGAGGAGAGAUACCUGA